GACGAACGCUGGCGGCGUGCUUAACACAUGCAAGUCGAACGGUAAGGCUCCAGCUUGCUGGGGUACACGAGUGGCGAACGGGUGAGUAACACGUGGGUGACCUGCCCUGCACUUCGGGAUAAGCCUGGGAAACUGGGUCUAAUACCGGAUAGGACCGCACCGUGAGGGUGUGGUGGAAAGUUUUUUCGGUGUGGGAUGGGCCCGCGGCCUAUCAGCUUGUUGGUGGGGUAAUGGCCUACCAAGGCGGCGACGGGUAGCCGGCCUGAGAGGGUGGACGGCCACAUUGGGACUGAGACACGGCCCAGACUCCUACGGGAGGCAGCAGUGGGGAAUAUUGCACAAUGGGCGGAAGCCUGAUGCAGCGACGCCGCGUGGGGGAUGACGGCCUUCGGGUUGUAAACUCCUUUCACCAUCGACGAAGGGUUUCUGACGGUAGAUGGAGAAGAAGCACCGGCUAACUACGUGCCAGCAGCCGCGGUAAUACGUAGGGUGCGAGCGUUGUCCGGAAUUACUGGGCGUAAAGAGCUCGUAGGUGGUUUGUCGCGUCGUCUGUGAAAUUCCGGGGCUUAACUCCGGGCGUGCAGGCGAUACGGGCAUAACUUGAGUACUGUAGGGGAGACUGGAAUUCCUGGUGUAGCGGUGAAAUGCGCAGAUAUCAGGAGGAACACCGGUGGCGAAGGCGGGUCUCUGGGCGGUAACUGACGCUGAGGAGCGAAAGCAUGGGGAGCGAACAGGAUUAGAUACCCUGGUAGUCCAUGCCGUAAACGGUGGGCGCUAGGUGUGGGUUUCCUUCCACGGGAUCCGUGCCGUAGCUAACGCAUUAAGCGCCCCGCCUGGGGAGUACGGCCGCAAGGCUAAAACUCAAAGGAAUUGACGGGGGCCCGCACAAGCGGCGGAGCAUGUGGAUUAAUUCGAUGCAACGCGAAGAACCUUACCUGGGCUUGACAUAUACAGGAUCGCGCCAGAGAUGGUGUUUCCCUUGUGGCUUGUAUACAGGUGGUGCAUGGUUGUCGUCAGCUCGUGUCGUGAGAUGUUGGGUUAAGUCCCGCAACGAGCGCAACCCUUGUCUUAUGUUGCCAGCACGUUGUGGUGGGGACUCGUAAGAAACUGCCGGGGUUAACUCGGAGGAAGGUGGGGAUGACGUCAAAUCAUCAUGCCCCUUAUGUCCAGGGCUUCACACAUGCUACAAUGGUCGGUACAGUGGGUUGCCAGUCCGUGAGGGCGAGCUAAUCCCGCAAAGCCGGUCUCAGUUCGGAUCGGGGUCUGCAACUCGACCCCGUGAAGUCGGAGUCGCUAGUAAUCGCAGAUCAGCAACGCUGCGGUGAAUACGUUCCCGGGCCA
rnacentral:rRNA from 1 species